GAUGAACGCUAGCGAUAGGCUUAACACAUGCAAGUCGAGGGGCAGCAUAUCUUAGCUUGCUAAGGUCGAUGGCGACCCGGCGCACGGGUGCGUAACGCGUAUGCAACUUGCCUUACAGAGGGGGAUAACCCGUUGAAAGACGGACUAAAACCGCAUACACUUGUAUUAUUGCAUGAUAUUACAAGGAAAUAUUUAUAGCUGUAAGAUAGGCAUGCGUCCCAUUAGCUGGUUGGUGAGGUAACGGCUCACCAAGGCGACGAUGGGUAGGGGAACUGAGAGGUUUAUCCCCCACACUGGUACUGAGACACGGACCAGACUCCUACGGGAGGCAGCAGUGAGGAAUAUUGGUCAAUGGGCGAGAGCCUGAACCAGCCAAGUCGCGUGAAGGAAGACGGUCCUAAGGAUUGUAAACUUCUUUUAUACGGGAAUAACGGGCGAUACGAGUAUUGCAUU
rnacentral:rRNA from 1 species